CUCUCUCUCUCAGGGAUCCUGUUGUCUCUCCAGAAAGGAGAGAGAGAGAGAGAGAGAGAGAGAGGGGGUGGGAAAAGGAAAAAAAAAACCCAGCCACACUCCCAACAACAACAACAACAACAAAAGCAUCGUCCUCAGCUGUAAAGGAAAACAAAGACUCGAGAGGGAAGGAAAGAAGAACAUACACGAGAGAGAGAGAGAGAGAGAGAGGGAGAGGGAGAGAGAGAAUAACCUGGGGGAGAAAGGAGAAAAUUCAGAUGCAAUCUCCACCAACUCUUCUCUUUCUUUCCCUUGUGAAGCUCCAGGCAACCAAGGCACUCAUGCAGUAGAGGGACAGAAGCCGUUACUAACAUUUUGGGGUUGUUGGAGUGGCUGGAUUUUUUCUGGAAUUGAGCAUUAAAUUCAGAAGACUGAAGCCCAGGCUUACUGUCUACCUUUCACGGAGGCCAAGCCGUGAGAGGACAGAGGAAGGAACGUGGCGAAUCAUGACAGCGGAUAAAGAGAAAGAUCGUGAUCGGGACAAGGAGAGAGAUAGAAGGGAUAAACGAGAGAAUGAACAUUCCAGGCCGCGACGCAGCUGCACUUUGGAAGGAGGAGCUAAGAAUUAUGCAGAAAGUGACCACACUGAAGAUGAAGAAAAUGACAAAGACAGCGCUACUAAUGAGGAAGCUGGGAAAAAGUCAAAAAUCAAGAAACCGCCAAAAAAGAAAUCGCGUUAUGAGAGAGCAGAAACCGGUGAUAUAACUUCAUUUGUAACAGAGGAUGAUGUUAUCUACAGGCCUGGAGAUUGUGUUUAUAUAGAGAGUCGCCGCCCCAACACACCUUACUUUAUCUGCAGCAUCCAAGAAUUCAAACUGAGCAAACGGGACCACCUGUUAAUGAAUGUCAAGUGGUACUAUCGUCAGUCGGAGGUGCCAGAUUCAGUUUACCAGCAUCUGGUUCAGGAUCGACACAAUGAAAAUGAUUCUGGCCGUGAGCUUGUGAUCACAGACCCAGUAAUUAGGAGUCGGGAACUCUUCAUUUCGGAUUAUGUAGACACCUACCAUGCUGCAGCACUCAGAGGGAAAUGCAAUAUUAUACAUUUUUCUGACAUAUUUGCUGCCAGAGAGUUUAAGCCACGACCGGACCAAUUUUUUUAUAUACUGGGCUAUAACCCAGAGACAAGGAGGCUGAAUAGCACGCAGGGAGAAAUCCGUGUGGGACCUAGUCAUCAGGCAAAACUUCCAGAAUUGAAGCCUCUUCCCCUGUCCACUGGUGAGAUGGUAACUGAACAUGAGGAACUGGUCUGGACACCAGGUGUCAAUGAUUGUGACCUUCUGAUGUACCUGAGAGCAGCCAGGAGUAUGGCUGCAUUUGCAGGAAUGUGUGAUGGUGGAUCCACAGAAGAUGGCUGUCUUGCAGCAUCUCGUGAUGACACUACAGUAAAUGCAUUAAAUACAUUACACGAGAGCAGUUAUGAUGCUGGAAAGGCCUUGCAACGACUUGUAAAGAAGCCUGUGCCCAAAUUAAUUGAAAAAUGUUGGUCUGAGGAUGAAAUGAAACGCUUCAUUAAGGGAUUGAGACAGUACGGCAAGAACUUCUUCAGGAUCCGCAAAGAGCUGCUUCCAAAUAAGGAGACGGGUGAGCUGGUGACGUUUUAUUACUAUUGGAAAAAAACUCCUGAAGCGGCCAGCUCUCGUGCUCAUCGGAGACAUCGGAGACAGGCGGUAUUUAGAAGAAUUAAAACACGCACUGCAACAACCCCAGUGAAUCCAUCUCGACCACCAUCUGGUGAAUUCUAUGGUAGCGGUCGUGGGUUUGGAAGGUGCUGCCUAAGGAACCUUGUGGAUCUCAGCUCAGCCAGCGAGGAUGACUUUGACAGUGAAGACAGUGAACAGGAGCUGAAGGGCUACGCCUGUCGCCAUUGUUUCACCACCACAUCCAAAGACUGGCACCACGGAGGACGAGACAACAUAUUACUGUGCACAGAGUGUCGGAUUCACUUCAAGAAGUACGCAGAGUUGCCACCUAUCGAUAAACCAGUGGAUCCACCACCAUUUAUGUUUAAACCAGUCAAAGAAGAAGAAGAUGGACUCAGCGGGAAACAUAGCAUGAGGACCAGAAGGAGUAGGGGCUCGAUGUCUUCACUGCGCAGUGGUCGUAAAAAGCAGACAGCCAGUCCUGACGGUAGAGCCUCACCUAUCAAUGAAGACAUCAGGUCCAGCGGCCGUAAUUCUCCCAGUGCUGCCAGCACAUCCAGUAAUGAUAGCAAAGCAGACUCUAUGAAAAAAUCCAGCAAGAGAUCGAAGGAUGAUGUAUCAUCACCGUCAAAGAGUGCCAAACGCCAAAGAGAAAAGGCUGCUUCUGAUACAGAAGAAUCGGAAAGAUUAAACGCAAAGAAAUCCAAAACGCAGGACAUCAGUAGGCCAAAUUCACCAUCUGAAGGAGAGAGUUCUGACAGCCGCAGUGUUAAUGAUGAAGGAAGCAGUGAUCCAAAGGAUAUUGACCAGGACAAUCGCAGCACAUCACCAAGUAUACCAAGCCCAAGGGACAAUGAGAGUGAUUCUGAUUCCUCCGCACAGCAACAAGUAUUACAGUCUCAGCCUCCAGUACAUCAGAGCCCAUGUGCCUCUUUGCCAUUAGUACCACUGGAGCCACCACAAAUGCCCCCUCCGGCAUCUUCCUGUGCUGUAUCAGUUUCUCAACAAUUGUCCCCAGUUUCACAACCUCGAAGUCAGACACCACCUCAUCCACUGAUGCAGCCUGCACCACAGCUUCAUCCCCAGAGACUAACGUCGCCACACCCUCCAAUUCAACAACAGCUACAACCUCAAUCACAACCUCUUCCCCAGACACAGCCUCAGCUUCAUGCUCAGGUGCAACCAUUGCCUCACUCCCUGCAAGCUCAGCCUCACAUACAGCAUCAGCUGCAAGGUCCACCAUUCUCCAUCAAUCCUCAGCCUCCGCAGCCUCAGAUGCCGCAGGCUUCUGCUCAGGCAUCAGCAGUGACACACCCACAGCAACACACUCCUACACAAGUGCAAGCACAGCCUCCACCACCUCCCCAAGCACAACCGCAGUCACAGCCUCCAAGAGAGCAGCCUUUGCCACCUGCUCCGGUGACUAUGCCUCAUAUUAAGCCACCACCCACUACCCCAAUUACUCCUGUUUCUAACCCACAGUCACAUAAGCCGCCAACUCACCUUGCAGGACCUCCUCCCUUCCCACAAAUGCCUUCAAAUCUACCGCCUCCUCCAGCUUUAAAACCAUUGAGCUCCCUGUCCACCCAUCACACUCCCUCUGUUCAUCCACCUCCAUUGCAGUUAAUGCCUCAAACUCAACAGAUUCAGCCUCCUCCUGCUCAACCCCCAGUAUUAACCCAAGCUCAGAGUCUCCCAGCGACUGCAACUCAUCCUCAAGCAGUAUCUCACCAAGUUCCUUCACAGCCACCGUAUGCCCAGCAUUCUUUCAUCCCAUCGGGGGCUCCUACUGUUGCACCUUCAUCAGCAUCUGCCACGUCCAGUGUUGCACCCAUCUCUACCAUUCAGCCUACAGCUUCCAUUGUUACAUCUAUGUGUUCUGCUGGAAGCAUUGCAAACACUGCUCCUGCCACGAUGACUAGCAUUCAGAUUAAAGAGGAAAUCCAGGAUGAGCCAGAGGAACCAGAUAGUCCACCACCAUCUCCAAACAGGAGUCCAUCUCCAGAACCAACAAUUGUUAGUGCACCAAGCCAUGCCAGUCAGUCAGCCAGGUUCAUCAAACAUUUGGAUCGUGGUUACAAUUCCUGUGCUCGAUCAGACUUGUACUUUGUACCAUUGCAAGGUUCAAAGCUGGCCAAGAAGCGGGAAGAAGUAAUAGAAAAGGCCAGGCGUGAAGCUGAGCAGAAGGCCAGAGAAGAAAAAGAGAAAGAAAAGGAAAAAGAAAAGGAGAGGGAGCGAGAACGGGAGCGAGAGAGGGAAGCCGAGAGAGCAGCGAAAGCAUCUAGCUCUUCCCAUGAGGGGCGCAUGGCAGAAUCUCAACUUGUUGGACCAGGUCAUUUAAGGCCUUCAUUUGAGCCACCACCCACUACCAUUGCAGCUGUUCCUCCAUACAUUGGACCAGAUACUCCAGCACUACGGACUCUCAGUGAAUAUGCAAGACCACAUGUCAUGUCUCCAACCAACCGCAACCAUCCAUUCUUUGUUCCAUUAAAUGCCUCUGAUCCAAUCUUGGCUUACCAUAUGCCGAGCCUCUACAGUGCUGACCCUGCAAUGAGAGAGCGAGAAUUACGGGAAAGGGAGAUUCGGGAGAGAGAGAUCCGUGAAAGGGAGUUCCGCGAAAGGAUGAAGCCAGGCUUUGAGGUUAAGCCACCUGAACUCGAUGGUCUGCACCCAGCUGCUAAUCCUAUGGAUCCAUUUGCUAGGCAUGGUGCAUUAACAAUCCAACCAGCAGCUGGAGCUCAUCCAUUCCCUCCUUUCCACCAUGGAUUAAAUCCACUAGAAAGGGAAAGACUUGCACUUGCAGGCCCUCAGCUACGGCCUGAAAUGUCUUACGCUGAUAGACUGGCAGCAGAACGAAUACAUGCUGAACGCAUGGCAUCACUUGCAAAUGACCCACUUACAAGACUACAGAUGUUCAAUGUGACGCCACAUCACCACCAGCAUUCACACAUACAUUCACACUUACACCUACAUCAGCAAGAUCCAUUACAUCAAGGUUCAGGAGGCGUGCAUCCAUUGGUGGAUCCUCUAGCAGCUGGGCCACAUUUGGCUCGUUUUCCUUACCCACCGGGUGCAAUACCUAACCCACUGUUGACCCAGGCUCCACAUGAACAUGAAAUGCUCAGGCAUCACCCUGUCUUUGGUGGACCAUACAGAGACCUGCCUAGUGCUAUUCCAGCCCCCAUGUCAGCAGCACACCAACUUCAGGCAAUGCACGCCCAGUCAGCAGAACUACAGAGACUAGCAAUGGAACAACAGUGGCUACACGGCCAUCACCAUAUGCACGGAGGUCCCCUUCCUGGGCAAGAAGACUAUUACAGGCAAGGUGGCAACCCUAGCUGCAUCCGUUUAUGUACCCAUAAACACUGACUUGUGAACUCUGUGAGGUAAAGACUUCUCAUUAGAUUGCAACAAAACUUCCGGCUGAAAAAAGAGAGUGACAAGCCACUUUAAAUCCUGAACCAUAUGAGAAGGCUCACUCACAGGGGCAAGGGUCACUCGGCCAGUACUUUGGAAGGAGCUCUGGCAUCCUGCAAGAAUGAUAAAAGGAGAUCUUCCUGACAAGAUUCCCAGCCCCCCCUCCCCCAAAAAAGGAUCGAAUGAUUUUAUUUUGUAAUAUCCACCUGUGGAGGGGAUCAUUUGGGGCUGGCUGUGGAUCUUAGCACGACGUUGCAUUUGGUAAUAUGAUGGUCGGAAAUGCACACUGAGGCAGUGUUUCCAGCUGUUCUUGUAUUGGUACUAGACCGGGUUUCAAACGGUCACCGCACAAUGCAACCCAACUAAAACAAAACAUAAAACAAAAAGUGAACAGAUUUAAGUUCUGAGUAUAAGUACUAUAGUACAUUUUAUGAUUCCUUAAAUAAUAUGUAGGAUAUCCUCAUAAUUUUAAAGAAAAGUCAAAUCUAUGGCAUGGCUUUUGAGUUUGUAAAUAAAGAAAAUUAACCUUAUACGUAAAGGAUUAGUUGUGGAUUUCUAAUUGGAUAACAGAUUGCAAAGUUAAGUGUUUUAAACAGCUUCACCUCCUUUAAUUAAAGGAGAAGUUAGCUGUAUGGUAAUGUUUCCUCUGAAAUGGAGUGUUUUUUUUAAUGUGUCUAGUAGCAGUGGCAUGCAUCAAAAGGUUGCAGGGAUUGUGGUCCAGACAAACGUCAACAUAGAUUUUAAUUAACAUAAUAAAAGACUACAUAAAUAGUAUUUUACCAUCACUGGGUUUGGGCAUCCCAUACCAUGCUGGUCAACAAUGCAGACUAUUACUAGACUGAUCUCUUGCCAACAGCAUGAAAGAAAUUUAGGCUUCCCAUUCUAACCAUUUAAUAACAUUUUCAGUAUCCAAAAUAUUUAAGCGAUGAUUGAACCUUUUAUCUCCGUUUUAUAGUGAUAAUUCUAUGAUUUCAUAUUAUUAAAAAACUCAUUAAGAACAAAUAAGCUACUUUUAUACUUGCAUUUAACAUAACAUCCAGCAUUUUUGCUUUCAUUAAAUAUGCACUAAAAUAUUGCACAUACCUGUGGCGUCAUGCUAAUUGUUUUGCUUGUCAACUUAUUUUGUUAUGUGGGGAGCUGACAACCCACAUUUAGACAUCAGAAUCAAGGGCAUUAAAGUAUCAUAAGUCAUUUUCGCAAAAAAUAGUUAUUAAGUUUGGGGAAACUGAUAAAAGGACCAAUAAUAUUAACUGGACUUCUGUCAUUAUUCUUGAUUGUAACCCCACUCCCAUCAUCAGCAUGUCAAUUAACUGAAGGUUGUUGGCGAGCAUUUGAGCAGCUCAGUCCUCCUCACUGUAAGAGAUAAAUUAUACGCAUGUCUACAUUUCUCAAUGACAAAGCUUCCAAGAGGUGAGCUUGAGUUGGAACAAAGGUUUGUGCUUAUUGAUGGAAAAAUUAUUUUAUUUCUGGGAUAAAUGUUCCGAAAAGCUGUUGAAUUCAAGAAUAAUGAUAACCAAUCAAAAACAUGCAGUUUUGAAGUCCCUUUUGUAAUAUAUAAAAUAACAUAUAUUUUAUUUCUGGGCUCUUAAUUACAUUGUGGGGAUUUAUAUUCAUUUUUACUUAAAAGUAGCAAAAAGUAGUCAUACUUAACCAUGAUGUACCAAUGUCUGGUGUCAGCAGUUUGGGUAUCUGAGAUACCAGUAGAGCUGAAAACCUGUCAGUAAAUAACAUUAAUUUUAGAGCAGGGACUUACUGAUCUUGCUCUUUGUCAAUCACGUUUCUGUAUCUUUAAACAACUGAAAGUAUCACUCUUAAAAUGUUUUUUGCAAGUUUGAGCUUUACAUUUUAUCAUUGGAACUAUGACAUGUUGUCAGAAGCUGAAUGCAGAGAGUCUGGCUGAUGUCUGCACUGGGUAACUGGUUUCCUGAUGGUGCGUAUCUGUCUUUCCCCUUGAUUUUAUCAAGGACUGUAUAUUUGCCAUUGUAGACUGUUAUGUGGUGUUCACUGUCAUAGGACUGUGUUUAAUUAAAAGAAAGAACUAUAUGGUGUACUCACACCCUGGAUAGUGACACAAAGGUUCAAGUUUUUAUUUUGCUUUUUUGUGUUUUCCGAAGUAUAAUGUUUAAUGUUGUCAAUGGUCCAGCUUCUUAAUUCACUGCAGCAUUAGCAGAAUGUACAUUCUGAUGCUAAAUUUAUAUAUAUCUUGAAGCUUAAUGUAUAUAAUAGUAGUUUGCCAUGGGAUAACACAAUGUAAACAAAAAGUAGAAGCAAAGAUUGUGAGUCCUGUGUUUUCUCCAUUUGAGUAUUUUGUAAUUUUUGAGAUAUUUGUGACUUAAAUAAACCAAACAGCGCUGCAA